CCCCAAACACAAAGGCUUGGUAAUAUCAAUAAUCAUUGCAAUCCUUGCAAGCUCCAUACAAGCUGAUAUUGUUGUCCAAUCAUCUACAAAUGGUGGUGUUCCAGCAAUAGAAGUAAGUUUCAUAAUUCUUUGAGUUUUCCAUAAUUCCAAUGGAAGGUCUAGAGAAUGGAUCCAGAUAUGGGUAUUCUGAACAAUAUCCUUCUCGGGAUGAAAAUUUAGUCUCCAGCUCUCUAGAGCCAAGAUUUGGUCAGCAAGAGAUCUGGGAUCCUUCUCAAGCACUUUAUUUUUCACUGUUUUCAAAGAGAAUUCGAAUAACCCUUCUGAACGAGGUGAG
rnacentral:lncRNA from 1 species